GCCCGCCUAGCUCAGUUGGUUUAGAGCUUCCGACUUUUACCCGAUAAAAGUGGCAGUCACAUGACGUGAUCGGACGGUCGCGGGUUCGACCCCCGCGGUGGGCU
rfam:Trichosporon asahii var. asahii CBS 8904 unplaced genomic scaffold scaffold00066, whole genome shotgun sequence.